rnacentral:rRNA from 1 species
AGAGUUUGAUCCUGGCUCAGAACGAACGCUGGCGGCGUGUUUAAGACAUGCAAGUCGCACGGAAUCAUUUUGGUAGUAAUACUCGAAUGGUUUAGUGGCGCACGGGUGAGUAACAUGUGAAUUACAUGCCCUAUAGUGGGGAAUAGCCCAGGGAAACUUGGAUUAAUACCCCAUAGUCUCGCAAGAGUAAAGGUGGCCGCAAGGCUGUCGCCAUAGGAUUGGUUCGCACCCUAUCAGCUUGUUGGUGAGGUAACGGCUCACCAAGGCUACGACGGGUACCUGGUCUGAGAGGACGAUCAGGCACACUGGAACUGAGACACGGUCCAGACACCUACGGGUGGCAGCAGUCGAGAAUAAUUCACAAUGGGGGCAACCCUGAUGGUGCAACGCCGCGUGGAGGAUGAAGGUCUUCGGAUUGUAAACUCCUGUCAUCUGGGAGUAAGACCUGGUCGUUAAUAGCGGACAGGGUUGAUAGUACCAGAAGAGGAAGGGACGGCUAACUUCGUGCCAGCAGCCGCGGUAAUACGAAGGUCCCGAGCGUUGUUCGGAAUCACUGGGCGUAAAGGGAGCGUAGGCGGCGUGGUAAGUCAGAUGUGAAAUCCCGGGGCUCAACCCCGGAACUGCAUCCGAUACUGCCGUGCUAGAGGAUUGGAGAGGUAGCUGGAAUUCUUGGUGUAGCAGUGAAAUGCGUGGAUAUCAAGAGGAACACUCGUGGCGAAAGCGAGCUACUGGACAACUCCUGACGCUGAGGCUCGAAAGCCAGGGUAGCGAAAGGGAUUAGAUACCCCUGUAGUCCUGGC